CAGUCGCCGCGGUAAUACGUAGGUGGCAAGCGUUGUCCGGAAUUAUUGGGCGUAAAGGGCUCGCAGGCGGUUUCUUAAGUCUGAUGUGAGAGCCCCCGGCUCAACCGGGGAGGGUCAUUGGAAACUGGGAAACUUGAGUGCAGAAGAGGAGAGUGGAAUUCCACGUGUAGCGGUGAAAUGCGUAGAGAUGUGGAGGAACACCAGUGGCGAAGGCGACCCUCUGGUCUGUAGCUGACGCUGAGGAGCGAAAGCGUGGGGAGCGAACAGGAUUAGAUACCCGCGUAGUCCCUGUCUCUUAUAU
rnacentral:rRNA from 1 species